UUAGAUGAAACAAUAAGUACAACUCUUAUUGUUGAAAAUGAUGAAUAGGUUGUAUAUUAAGCAUGUAAGUAGUAGAAUUUGAAGGAUGAUGAAAGUUCCCCCUCUUUCCUAGCCAAUAUUCCACAGCAAUCUAAAGCUGUUAUUCUCAACAUGUAUAUAUUUACUUGUUUGCUCAUUGCACAAACAUUUAUAUGGCACUUAUUGUAUGUCAGGAACUGUUCUAGGUAUGUAAGAGGACUUUCUAGGAUAUAUACUCUUAUUAUCCUUAAUUUACAGAUGAGAAAAUGCCAACAAAGUAGGGAAUCAUUCUUCUAAGACCACACACUGUAACACUGUAAGUACCCAAACUCAAGUAGUCUGUCUUGAGAAUUUGUACCUUCAGCUACUAAACUAUGUACUUCAGCUUCUCUAAGCUAAGAGUUUACACGCACAGAUUAUAUUUUUUUAAUGAUGAAAAGGCCACAGUGGAGAAGGAUGAUAUAUUAAUAGCUAUAAAUAUGUAACUUUGAACAAUGUAAAAGUCUUGUAAAGACCUGACUGGCUUUCCCAGCGGGGAACUGGGACCUGGACAUUUACUAGAGGGAAGAAAGGGCAGAAAGGUUUAAAACUCAGGAUGUAAGUGGAGUAAGAAGGCUUCAGAUAGGCUCUAAGUAUAUUUGGGAAAAGGAAUUGUGGAAAGUAAGAUGGGGGCCCACAUGGGCUUCUGAAUAGACCUGUUUUGUAACAUGAGCCAGGUCUGGCCACUCUAAUCCAUCUGUUGUUUUGUCCACUUUGUUUUCUUCUGGCGGUUUUUGUUGUUUUCUUCUCCCUUCCUCACCUCCUCCUUCCUCCCCUCAUCUUUCCCAUCCUUAUUCACUAAUGCCAGGUUCAUACAUUUUAUGGAGCCAUCUAAGAUUUUUUGUUUAUUGAACUUGGAGUACCUGGGCUCCCCUUUGAAGCACCCUCAGUGUGAUCUGUGGCCCGGCGGUAACUUCUGGCCCACGCUUGUGUGUGGAUUUGUGUUCUUCCACACUGUGUUGUGUUUUUAAUUGAAUCAGUGGCAAUAGCAGCCAGAAUAAGCUAUUUACAGCAAACACAUGAGCACAGAUGCACAUGCAUGCAAACAUGCGCGCACACACACACACACACACACACACACACACCUUAGUUUAAAAUAAUAGUUUUUUUCUCACACGUGUAGCAUAUAUAUCAUGACAGUUGCACUGAAUUGUCUUCACUCUGGACCUACCUUGAUGAGACAGCCACUAUCUGGAAUGUUAGUAGUUACCGGAGCAGAGUGCCAAGAGCUUUGGAAGGUCAUACAUCAGCAAUUAAAAUCUGGUUUACAUGUUACUGAACAGAACUAUUCACAUGGCCCCAUCCAGUCAGGAGGAGCCUAGGCAAAAGUAGUUGGUGAGAGCUCAAAUAGCAGAUAUCCCCUUUAUGAAAUUGCAUGGCAAGUCUCCCAUUUACCAACCACCACUACCCCAUCUCCCUGAUUAGGUGCCUGUAACCAUGUUUAUUGUUCUUGCAUUGCUUAUUUUCUGAGAGAGGUUUUAAGGGGGAAGGAUUUUUAACCUUAUCUAUCAAAAGUAAAAUACAUACAUAUAUAAAUAAUACAUACAUACGUAAAGACAAAAGGGAACCUAGGCUUCAAGAAAAAUGGAAUUGUUUUGUUGCUAUUGUUUUCUGCUUUUUUCUGCUUGUUUUUUGGAAGCUAAAAAAAGUUUCUGGUUGUUUAAUAUUAUGUAUUCUGAAAAAAAGGUCAGUCAAAAUUUAUUUUUUUCCCUUGAUGAUAUCACUUGUCUAAAUAAAUCUAGGAUAGGGUACAUGUGGAUUAUUUUUUUCUUAAAGUAUCUUUUAAAGUUUCACUUUGGGCUUAGGUUUAGAAAAUAUUAUUUGAUAUAUAUGGUUUGUUGCAAACAUGAGAUUAUAGUAGUUCAGGUUUGAAAAGAGCAAUAGCCUACCCAGAAUCUAAAAUAAACUGCAUGUAAGGUAUAUGAUGUCAUUCUGUUUUCCUUCUGCUAAAUUAUUUUAUAUGCAUACACAUUUUCAUCUUAACAGCAAUAGGGAAAGAGUUGAAAUUAGUUGAUAUUUACAUGCCAGAUAAAACAAUUAUUAAUGUAAAUAGAUUGAAUGUGAAUUUCAUUAAAAAAUUUGGUCAACCUAAUAUUUUUGUAGUUUAGAUGAAUCAUAUUUGGGAUUUUUGAAUGCAUAGUUGAAAGGAAGAUUAAAAGACUUUCCAAAUGGCACUGGGCACUACUGAAUCAAACCAUAACCUUUUGUUUACCAUUUCAUAUCAGAGGGUGAUCAAUUCUAAAUGAUCCACAUUUCAGGAAUUGGUUCAAAGAGUCUAAAAAUUGGUAUUUCACUUACCACUACUGUGAGAAGGCUUCUACAUAUUUCAGAGAACAAAUAUUUUUUAAACAUUUUACUAUUAAAUUGGGACAAAUAUACUAUUUUACUCUGAAUAUGAAGUGUCAUACUUUAAAGUAUAUUAAAAUUUAGAUGGCUCAAUAUGUAUUUCCAAAUCAAAUGAAUGGUCACGGACAGCUGAGUGAAUAAUUUUGAGGAAUGACAACUCAAUGUAUUUUUCCUUUCAAAUGAAAGCUGUAAAAACUCACCCUGCGUGGUCUACUUUUAGAAGUUAAUAGAAGUUCAAUCUAUUUUUGUAUUUCAAUUGUACCUGAAUUUAAAAUGCCAGGUUUCAUCCAUCUCUUAUGGUAGCUCUUAAGUCUAACCAUUUCCCAAAAUAUUUCCUAAAGUGCAUAUAAAAGCCUAUCAGAAAAAUAAAACCUUAUGGUAUAUUGGCUUUUGUGCAGAUUAAUCAAAAUGUGGAUAGUUAAAAAAACUCUUCUUAAAACAAGAUUAUUUAAAUUUUGAGUGAAGUGUCAUUUAGUGAAUUGUGAUAGGCUCCAUUUCUAUUUUUCUAAGAGUGGAGUUGAAAUCACAGAAUAUUCAGGGAAGUAUAAGUAUCCACAAUUUCUAGAGGAGAGGGGAUUUUUGUAUCUGUCUCCUAAAGCAAAAGAAAUAAAAGCAAAAUAAACAAAUUUGGCUUAAUUAAACUUAAAAGCUUUUGCAUAGCAGAGGAAAUCAUCAGUAAAACUAAAAGACAACUUACAGAAUUGAAGAAAAUAUUUUAAAAUGAUAUGACUGACGAGUUAAUAUUCAUAACAUAUAAACAGCUCAUACAUCUCAAUAUCAGAAAUAAAUCAAAAAAUGAGCAGAAGACCUUGAAUAGACAUUUUUAUAAAGAAGACAUACUGACGGCUAAUAGGGCUAUGAAAGGAUGCUUAACAUCACUAAUAGAAAAAUGCAAAUCAAAAUAAUCAUGAGAAUCACCUCACAUCUGUCAGAAUGGCUAUUAUAUAUUAUACAAUACAGAUAUAGACAUAUAUAUCAUAUAUAUACAAUAUAGAUAUACAUAUAUACCAUAUAUAUACACAAUCUGAUUAUAUAUAUAGCACAUAUAUAUGUAUACACACACAAUAUGAAAUAUUACUCAGCCACAAAAGAAUGAAACUCUGCCAUUUGCUGCAAGGUGGAUGGAUCUAGAGAAUAUUAUGCUUAGUGAAAUAAAUCAGACAAAGACAAAUAUCAUAUAUUGUCACUUAUGUGUUGAAUCUAAAAAUAAAACAAAUGAAUAUAUAAAUAUAUGGCAAAAUUGAAGUAGAAUCAAGGAUACAGAAAACAAACUAGUGGUUACCAGAAUGGAGAGGGAAGGGAGGAGGGCAAGAUAGGGGUAAGCAAUUAAUAGAUACAAACCACUAUGUAUAAAAUAGAUAAGAAACAGGGAUAUAUUAUAUAGUGCAAGGGAUUAUAGCUAUUAUCUUUUAAUAACUUAAUGGAAUAUAAUCUGUAAAAAUACUGAAUCACUAUGCUGUACACCUAAAACUAGUAUAAUAUUGUAAAUCAACUAUACUUUAAUUAAAAAUAAUAAAGGUCGGAGUUCCCAUCGUGGCUCAGUGGUUAAUGAAUCCGACAAAGAACCAUGAGGUUUCGGGUUUGAUUCCUGGCCUUGUUCAGUGGGUUAAGGAUCCAGCGUUGCCAUGAGCUGUGGUGUAGGUUGCAGAUGCGGCUCAGAUCCCGCGUUGCUGUGGCUGUGGCUUAGGCCAUUGGCUACAGCUCCGGUUAGACCCCUAGCCUGGGAACCUCCAUGUGCCGCAGAAGCUGCCCAAGAAAUGGCAAAAAGACAAAAUAAUAAUAAUAAUAAUAAUAAAGAAU
rnacentral:lncRNA from 1 species